UAAUACGUAGGGGGCAAGCGUUGUCCGGAUUUACUGGGUGUAAAGGGUGCUCAGGUGGCUUGGAAAGUCAGUGGUGAAAUCUGAGAGCUUAACUCUCAAACUGCCAUUGAUACUUCUUAGCUUGAGUACGGAAGAGGCUGAUGGAAUUUCAGGUGUAGCAGUGAAAUGCGUAGAUAUCUGAAAGAACACCAGUGGCGAAGGCGGUCAGCUGGUCCGUUACUGACACUAAAGCACGAAAGCGUGGGUAGCAAACAGGAUUAGAUACCCUGGUAGUCCACGCCCUAAACGAUGAAUACUAGACGUUGGAUGUAAAAAUUCAGUGUCGCAGCUAACGCAUUAAGUAUUCCACCUGGGGAGUACGAUCGCAAGGUUG
rnacentral:rRNA from 1 species